CUGCUGUCUGUUUAUUUGUCUGUCCUGGUAAGAUUCUCUCUAAAUUGUAGUAUUAUUUAUUCAGUGAUUUGUAGACAAUAAUUGCUAUAAUGUAUGAUAUUCUCUCUCCUCAGUGUUCUUUGUGUAACCUUCACAUCAAAUCCCAUCAAAUAUCCAGCGUAUCGACUCCCCUGGCCGGGAAGUUAGUCACUGGUUUGGUGUUACGUGGAGGCUGUCAGCAAUUAGUGGAAAUUGACAAAUUUAUCAGUGAUUAUUACAAAUGACUGAUAUACAAUGAUAUACAGUUUGUUUUAUUUAUGUAAAAAUUAAGAAUCGAUAAUUUGUCUUUGAAGUUAUUCAUUAACACAUUGUUUCUGUUAUUUUAUCUUAAUCCAUUGUCGGUCGCAAACUAUAAUGGAUUCCAUUACAGUAAGUCUGCUGAUAAUAAAUAUAACAAUAGCUAUCAUCGAGUUCUUAUCUGGAUGCAUACUGAAAGAGUUAAAUAAAAUCUAAAAGCUUGAUUACUGAAUAUUGUGAGAGUUUUGUCAAUAGAGGAGAAUAUCCAUAGUAAAUUGAGCAUUGUAGAAAAUGACUCUUACUAGUAAAAAGUGAAUGUAAUUUGUUGUUAUAAACAGAAAAGUUAAAACUCUCAGAAAUGUUUUGUUUUCUGUAAUCUCAAAUUAAAAUAUAAUGUUUAAGCUUGGAAUAUGCUUCAAUCAUUUGUAUAAUGUGAUUCAU